rnacentral:rRNA from 1 species
CCUACGGGGCGCAGCAGUGGGGAAUAUUGCACAAUGGGGGAAACCCUGAUGCAGCGACGCCGCGUGAGUGAAGAAGUAAUUCGUUACGUAAAGCUCUAUCAGCAGGGAAGAGAAUGGCGGUACCUGAGUAAGAAGCCCCGGCUAACUACGUGCCAGCAGCCGCGGUAAUACGUAGGGGGCAAGCGUUAUCCGGAUUUACUGGGUGUAAAGGGAGCGUAGACGGCAGAGAAAGUCUGAAGUGAAAGCCCGCGG